rnacentral:lncRNA from 1 species
CUCCCUCUCUCCCUCCCUUCCUACUAAAAACCAAUAAGGCUAGGGAGCCUAUCUGCAUAGUUCUGUGAAUGUCUCGGAACAAAGCAAUACACAGAAGCUAAUGCUCUCAUCCUGUGUAAGAUACAAAUCUUGUCACAUCAUGGACCAUCGUGGAGCAUGAAGCUAUUUCUAAUGUGAUGGGGGAAAUGUUUCUAGCAGAAGAGCAAGACAUGGUCCUGGUGCAUGAAAGGAGCCUAAGAAAGAAGAGUGAAAGCUGCACGUGUGAAGGAAAUGAAUUUUCCUCAUUGUACACAUUCCGAGAAAAAUGAGGCUAAGACUAUUUCAAAGGAUGUUCUACCUAAUUCGAAUGGGCUUUAAGUGCCAUCUUCACAAUAGCGCCAGAGUCUGGUGUCAGCAAACUGAACAAAUAGAGCUACAGGGAGCGAAUGGGGCUGGGUGCCUCUCCAAAACAUAUGCAGAUGAACUUGAGAUUUCAGAGGACGGUUAAUCCUACACAGCAGUCAAGUGCCUUCCCAGGGGUAUGUCUCAGAUCUCAGAGCAUCCUGGCAGGCAUCCACUGUGCCAUAUGCUUUCGGGAAGUCUGGAUGCUGAAUGUGGUGGCUGUGGGGAAUUGAGCCUUAUUGCUUCAUAAGAUUCCUGGUGGUAGAACUAUUCUGAACAAGAACACGUCCGUCCCCAUAGGUGUGCUCCAAGAAUCACAGAAUAAGAAGGGACUUCGGAGAGAGCCUCACACAGUUGGGCAAUGGGAGCCCAGAGAGGCAAGGAAGGCUCCUUGCCCAAAGUCUUGUACAUCUGAAUCUGCAACUCCUGACUAUUUUUGAGUCUUAUGCUCCAGGCUAAAACUUGUGACUUUAAGUGUGAUGUUCUCGGUGAUGAUUAAUCUAGGAUGUUUCUGUUGUUUUCUUACCGUCAAAGAAUUAACAUCAAAAGGAAAGGAAGGAAGAAAUGUAGAAGUGAAGGCAAGAAGGAAGGAAGGAGGAAAGGAAGGAAGGAAAAUAUAGGCUUUGGGUAAAAAUAAGUUUCUACUCAACACUGACAAAGGUACAGGUUUUGGACAUUGGUUUCCUAAUCUGUAAAUGAGGAAUAGUCAUCACAUCGCUGUCCUGGCUGGUUUUGUGUGUCAACUUGACACAAGCUGGAGUUAUCACAGAGAAAGGAAAGAAAAUGCCUCCAUGAGAUCUAGCUGUAAAUGGAUUAGUGAUCAAGAGUGGGAGGGCCCAGUGUGGGUGGUGCCAUCCCUGGACUGGUGGUCCUGGGUUCUACAAGAAAACAAGCUGAGCAAGCCAGGGGAAGCAAGCCAGGGGAACAUCCCUCCACGGCUCUGCAUCAGCUCCUGCUUCCUGCCCUGUGUGAGUUCCAGUCCUGACUUCCUUUGGUGACGAACAGCAAUGUGAUAGUAUAAGCUGAAUAAACCCUUUCCUCCCCAAC